UUCGCCCUUAGAGUUUGAUCAUGGCUCAGAUUGAACGCUGGCGGCAGGCCUAACACAUACAAGUCGAGCGGUAACAGGAGAAAGCUUGCUUUCUUCCUGACGAGCGGCGGACGGGUGAGUAAUGUAUGGGGAUCUGCCCGAUAGAGGGGGAUAACUACUGGAAACGGUGGCUAAUACCGCAUAAUGUCUACGGACCAAAGCAGGGGCUCUUCGGACCUUGCACUAUCGGAUGAACCCAUAUGGGAUUAGCUAGUAGGUGGGGUAAAGGCUCACCUAGGCGACGAUCUCUAGCUGGUCUGAGAGGAUGAUCAGCCACACUGGGACUGAGACACGGCCCAGACUCUACGGGAGGCAGCAGUGGGGAAUAUUGCACAAUGGGCGCAAGCCUGAUGCAGCCAUGCCGCGUGUAUGAAGAAGGCCUUAGGGUUGUAAAGUACUUUCAGCGGGGAGGAAGGUGAUAAGGUUAAUACCCUUGUCAAUUGACGUUACCCGCAGAAGAAGCACCGGCUAACUCCGUGCCAGCAGCCGCGGUAAUACGGAGGGUGCAAGCGUUAAUCGGAAUUACUGGGCGUAAAGCGCACGCAGGCGGUCAAUUAAGUCAGAUGUGAAAGCCCCGAGCUUAACUUGGGAAUUGCAUCUGAAACUGGUUGGCUAGAGUCUUGUAGAGGGGGGUAGAAUUCCAUGUGUAGCGGUGAAAUGCGUAGAGAUGUGGAGGAAUACCGGUGGCGAAGGCGGCCCCCUGGACAAAGACUGACGCUCAGGUGCGAAAGCGUGGGGAGCAAACAGGAUUAGAUACCCUGGUAGUCCACGCUGUAAACGAUGUCGAUUUAGAGGUUGUGGUCUUGAACCGUGGCUUCUGGAGCUAACGCGUUAAAUCGACCGCCUGGGGAGUACGGCCGCAAGGUUAAAACUCAAAUGAAUUGACGGGGGCCCGCACAGCGGUGGAGCAUGUGGUUUAAUUCGAUGCAACGCGAAGACCUUACCAUACUCCUGACAUCCAGCGAAUCCUUUAGAAUAGAGGAGUGCCUUCGGGAACGCUGAAACAGGUGCUGCAUGGCUUUUCGUCAGCUCGUGUUGUGAAAUGCUGGAGUUAAGUCCGCAACGAGCCCAUUCCCUUAUCCUUUGUUGCCAGCACGUGAUAAUGGGAACUCAAGGAGACUGCCG
rnacentral:rRNA from 1 species